UACGUAGGGUGCAAGCGUUGUCCGGAAUUAUUGGGCGUAAAGAGCUCGUAGGCGGUUCGUCGCGUCGGCUGUGAAAACCCGGAGCUCAACUCCGGGCCUGCAGUCGAUACGGGCGGACUUGAGUUCGGCAGGGGAGACUGGAAUUCCUGGUGUAGCGGUGAAAUGCGCAGAUAUCAGGAGGAACACCGGUGGCGAAGGCGGGUCUCUGGGCCGAUACUGACGCUGAGGAGCGAAAGCGUGGGGAGCGAACAGG
rnacentral:rRNA from 1 species